CCCUAGCCCUGAUGGUAGUGGAAAGCCCGUAAGCCAAAAACAGCUACUUUUUGUUGGCUUAUUUAUUCAUAGAAAAAGUGUUUAAUACCUACAAGGUUUUUGAAACCUUGUAGGAUUUGCUGUUUUUGGUGCGGACUUGAAACGGACAGCAGGAAAUGGC
rnacentral:sRNA from 1 species